CCGGCCUCCGGUUCACCCGCGCUGCGCGCGCGGGACCCGGCGCC
rnacentral:ncRNA from 1 species